UUACGGCCAUAUCAGUUUGAAACAACAGUUCUCAUAUAACCACCGAAGUUAAACAACGUCGAGCCUUGUCAGUACUUAGAUGGGUGAUCACUCUGGAAUUCCAGCAGUUGUAAG